GUCCUUGUAGACCUCUUGGAAUUGAUUUUUCAGGAGGUCCUAGGAGGAGAGGUUGGGAACACAAUGAACCGAUUUGGAAGGAGAGACGAAACAAAGGUAACAUGCUAGAACAUUAGGAAAAAAAGUGGGAGGAGGACAUUACCAGAGCAGAUCAUCAAAGUUUAGGAGGAAAAAGUGGCUGGAGCAGAGAGGUAGUUCCAUUGGAUAACUUAGUUAGAUGAAUUGAAAGCCAAGUGCUGGGUUGUGCAGUCAGAGGAAUUAAAAUCCACGUGAUCAGAUUAGCAGUGUAUAGAAAAUAAGAUCAGAUUCAUCUUUAACAAAAGCUGUAGAGCUGCUCAUUUCUGACUGAAGCAAUUAGCUCAUUUUCACUGUUCUCUCUGGUUUAGGCAAUGAAUGUUUGAUUCCAAAUAAACUUUGUGUGCACAGUAAUAGUCACUACUGAGCAUCUUAACAGUAUAUUUGGAUAGUUUAGUAGUAAGUAGUACAAAU